AAAGCAUGUGCUCCAAUAGUGAGCCACACCCAGCCCUAUGUAUAACUUUUCCUCUCAGCAUAAUGUUUAGGAGACUUAGCUGUGGUGUUCUGUGUACUAGUACUUUAUGUUUUCAUUAUUGCUGAUCAUGGUCCAUUGUAUGAUUAUAUAAAAAUGUUUUGUUUUCUGUUGAUAGAUGUUUGUAUUUUGUCAAACUUUUGGCUAUCAGGAAUAAUGCUGCCAGGAAAUGUUCUUGUAGAAGUCAUUCAUGGGCAGUGAACUAAUCUCUCUUGAGCAUGUGGUGUAGUCCUGAGUCCUAGAGUAGGUGUAUGUUUGGUUUCAUAAGGAACUAACAAAGAGCAUGCAUGAGAGUUCCAGUGACUGCAUAUCCUCAGCAACCCUUGAGAAUGACCAUUGAAAUUCAUUAACCAUUUUGCUGAGCAUCUGUUUGUAGUUUUAAUCUGCAUUUCUUGGGUCAUAUCCUGAGCACCCCUAGGAUCUAUGUUGGUUGUUAGAAUGUAUUUUGUGAAAUGCUUGCUCAAGUGCUUUGUUCAUUUUAAUGUUGAAAUAACUUUUGCUUAUGGAUUUUUAGGGUUCCUUUGUAUAUUCUCUAUAUAGAUUUUGUAUUAGUUGAUAGCUGAUGUAUUUACAGCCUUAAUGAUAUCUUUUGAUAAUGAGAUGUUUAUGAUUUUAAUCCGGGCUGAUUUACCAAUUUUCUGUUUUGGUUUAAUGCAUUGAGUCCUGCAAUAUAAGAAAUCCUUACCUACCCCAAUCCAAUAUCAGAAAAAAAUUUGGUUUUGAUUUUUUAUAUAGAUGUAGACUAAAUCUAAAAAACAUUUGUGUGUGUGUGUGUGUGUGUGUGUAUAGCUUGGAUGAAGGACAAGAGUUUAUUAUUCUCCAUGCUGGUGUUAUUCCAACACCAUUUUAAAAAAUACCAUCCUGCCCCAUGUGAUUGCAGAGGUGAUCU
rnacentral:lncRNA from 1 species